UACGGAGGGUGCAAGCGUUAUCCGGAUUCACUGGGUUUAAAGGGUGCGUAGGAGGGCAGGUAAGUCAGUGGUGAAAUCUCCGGGCUCAACUCGGAAACUGCCGUUGAUACUAUCUGUCUUGAAUAUCGUGGAGGUGAGCGGAAUAUGUCAUGUAGCGGUGAAAUGCUUAGAUAUGACAUAGAACAUCGAUUGCGAAGGCAGCUCGCUACACUAUGAUUGACACUGAGGCACGAAAGCGUGGGGAUCAAACAGG
rnacentral:rRNA from 1 species